AGUGAGGCUUAACUUGGCGUGAUGUUUUGAUAAUAUAUUCGCCUAUAUUUACAAAAAAAAUAAAAAAUAGUUAGCAGAGCAGUAAAUCAAAAAAGUGAUUUGUAUUACUUGUUUGUAUAGUAUGUUGACUUUGGUGUCUAUUUCAAACCUUAUGGCAUUUUUCAAGGAUGAGCAUAAGAGCAUUAAAAGGGGAGAAGACCACUAUAACUCUGGCCAUGUGGAGAAGUGCAGGGGCAAUUUACCUGUUUAGUCUGGGCCAGCAUGAGGGAUAAAGUUUUUCCUGUGUCCUCGAUCUGCUGUAGUCUACAACUGGACUCUUGCGCUCGGAUCACACUGGCACAGGUUAUCCAUGUACCGGAAGGCCUGAGGGAUGCACUCUGUUGAACUGGAAAACAAAGAGACGUGUCCGGAUCUUCCUCUUCUGCCAUGGUGGACGAGCACCUUUUCUGGUAAAUACAGGGCCAUUUCUCUUUCCCGCAGGAAAAUGGCACCUGCAGACCCAAGUGUUGUCACUGGGUUUCCGGUCCACCCAUCUGAAGAAAAAAAUACCUUUACUAGCUAGCUAAUAACUAAAAUGGUAACAUACUGUAUAUACAGUGAGGGGGGAAAGUAUUUGAUCCCCUGCUGAUUUUGUACGUUUGCCCACUGACAAAGAAAUUAUCUGUAACGAUUGUCAUAGGUG
ensembl:lncRNA